UGAAUAUGAGCCUUACAUUUUUGCUACGUUUUAUUUUAUAUUUAUAAAUGUAUUUUAAAUAUAUUACUUCUGGACUACUGUAUAUGAGCUAAUCAAAUGGCCACUGAGGGAUGAAGGUAAUAUGAGACUGAAAACAGUGAUUAGUUAUGUGAUCAAUAACAGAAAAAUGCUACCAUUAGAAGUUGUCAGCUAAACACAGUAUAAUUGGUCUCUGACAAGUUAAAAUAUAAUAGCUCAGUCUCUAGGGAAUGUGAUUUAUGGUUAAUUUAAGAC